rnacentral:lncRNA from 1 species
GCUAUACUAGGGUGUCCUUCCGAUCGCCUCCUCCGGCCAGGGGCCGCGCCAUGAGCUCAUCACUUGCCGCAGGUGCAGGGGUUGCAGGUGCAGUUGGGGCCGCACUUGCACCCGCCGUUCUCGGCUCCGGCGGACGCCGCGCCGCCCUCGAACCCGCCGUCGGCGUGCCUGCGCAGAGAAAGCCAAGAUAUGACAAGAGUCAGUGGCCUGGCUCAUACAUGCAUACAGAGCAUUUUUGGCAUGUUCGCUACCAGCAGCUACAUACGAGUGCAUGACGUCCCAGACUUCCCAGUUCAGGACAAAUUAAAGUUCUUUUUUUUUUGUUUCUGUUUUUGGGCCAGCAGUUUGUUUGUUUCAUGAUUGCCAAAAACUGCUUUCGUCGUAGCUUACUGCUCCCUGCCCGUUGCUGAUGGCGACUGAAAUUUGUGCUACCACUAUGCAGACAAACACAACAGCUACGCAUGCUAACAGAAGUUGGUACUGCUCCCUACACGAUCGAUCGAUCUACCCCCACAACACAAGGCAAAAGACAGUAAAAAUAGUACAGCUAGUAAUUCUGCACCACAGAAACUGACUGCUAUUAUUAGCAAAGGUGUGGAUGGUGGAUCAUUCAGAUCAACACAACACCGGAAUGAUCUAUGAGCAUGAUGUAGAUCAGUAGAUGGGAAAAGGGAUGGAUGAACAUACCCCUUGUUGGAAGGCGCAACGCCCGUGAUGACGGUCUGGGUGGUGGUGGUGCCCUGCUCAGCCAUGUCCGGGAACAUCUUGCACCUGCAGAUCAUGCAAGCGGCAGAUCAGCAUCAUCAGAAAUUUCCCUUGUUGAAGGAGCACAACUACAGCAGGCACAUCGUUUCAGAGAAUCGGAGUUCAUCAGACAGGAAUUCAUUUCAUAAAAAAAAAAUCAGACAGGAAUUCACAUCCGCAGCAACAUGAGAAAACCUCUGUUUUUUUUUUCUAAAAUAAAAAAGGGGAGCUUGAUCUCCCAGCUCUACAUAUCCUAUACUCAAAGAUCCAUCCACAAAGGUCCAGCAAGAACACAAGAACAACCGAAUCCAUGCAUUCAUAUGGGUAUUGACACAUGAUAGAUACGCAUCAGACUAUCAGAGAUCUGAGGAGCGUGGCGUCGUGGGGCUUACCCUCCGCAGCCGCUGCCGCACUUGCAGCCGGACCCGCACCCGCAGUUGCCUCCGCAGCACGACAUCCUCGCGAGAUCGAUUCAGAGACGAACACAAGCAGAGAGCGGCGUUCUUGGCAAUGAGUCACUGAACAACAACGAGAUGCAGUACGCCUUCCCCCUGCCCCGACGGGGAGGCCGCAUUUAAAGGCCCGGCGGGCGGCCAUCUGGCCGUCCACGCGGCGCGGGCCGUCCUGACCCGCC